CCUACGGGGGGCAGCAGUGGGGAAUAUUGCACAAUGGGGGAAACCCUGAUGCAGCGACGCCGCGUGAGCGAAGAAGUAUUUCGGUAUGUAAAGUUCUAUCAGCAGGGAAGAAAAUGACGGUACCUGAGUAAGAAGCUCCGGCUAAAUACGUGCCAGCAGCCGCGGUAAUACGUAUGGGGCAAGCGUUAUCCGGAUUUACUGGGCGUAAAGGGAGCGUAGGCGGGCUGCCAAGUCUGAUGUGAAAUACCGGGGCUCAACCACGGGGCUGCAUUGGAAACUGGCAGGCUGGAGUGCCGGAGAGGCAGGCGGAAUUCCUGGUGUAGCGGUAAAAUGCGUAGAGAUUAAGAGGAACACUAGUGGCGAAGGCGACCUGCUAGACGGUGACUGACGCUGAGGCGCGAAAGCGUGGGGAGCAAACAGGAUUAGAUACCCCUGUAGUC
rnacentral:rRNA from 1 species